CUCUGAAGAAGGCCAUGAAAUGCAAACAAAAAUGGAGCGGCGUCUGAUUUUAGUGGAUGUAGAAUUUCUCCACUGGUAUACAUUACUAGUUUGGAUAUCGCAUUUUAGCCGCUAACGCUAGCGAUGCUCCGGUAGGCGCCAUUACUGCCAACCUUUUCUUCCUUGAAAGGUGGCCACACGGCUUGCAGGCGACCAGGAGUUUUUUCCUCUCCUUCUCCUGCUGUGGGCGUCUCCGACUGUCGAUCCUCUCUGUCGAGUCUUUCUUCAGAGGUUUUGGUGUGAAAAAGGCCUUGAAGGCAUCAAAAGCAGCUUCCGCGCUCGACAGAGGUCUGGUUGGCUCGACUGGUUUUGUAUCUUCUUCUACUUCAGGAGUUAUCUGGUCCAGAAAUCCGUUCUGGGUCUUUGUGUCGCUCUGUUUUUCUGUGGAAACUGGACUUUUUGCAAACGGAGGACUCUG